UCAAGACUGAAACACAUCGAGCGAUUCAGAACUCGUGAAGCCAGCGGCAGCGAUGACCAUCCUAGCCAUCGCCUCGUCCCCUCCUGGGAGGGGCACGGGGGGCACGACCAGGGACAGAUGAAACAUAAACUGGAAUAGCUCCGUGCCAAGGGAAAAUUGAAAGGCACGGUCCCCGCAUCGGGCUCGAUGGCGUGGAGCACCGUCAUGCUCCAUGCGGAUGGACACGACUCUCAGCAAUGGAUAUCUCGACUCUCGCAUCGAUGAAGAGCAUAACGAAAUGCGAUACGUGGUGCGAAUUGCAGAAUACUGCGAACCAUCAAGUCUUUGAACGCAAGUUGCGCCCGAGGCUAGCCAGCCGAGGGCACGUCCACCUGGGCGUCAAGCAUCACGUCGCUCCGUGCCAACUCCAUCGCCCUGAUGGGUGCGUGUCAGCCGAGGCACGGAUGCGCAGGGUGGCCCGUCGUGCCCUCCGGCGUGGUGGGCUGAAGAGUCGGUCAUCGUCUCGCUGGCUGCGUGCAACGAGGGGUGGGUGAAAGCUGUGAGCACAACCCGCGUUGUCUCGUGCGGAGCUUGAGAGAACGACGGUGCCCAUGAGGCGAUCCCAACCCAUGCGCCGAUCUGCAUGCGACGGCUUGGAAU
rnacentral:rRNA from 1 species